ACAAUAUUCGGACUGUCGGCUUACUAAGCAAUAUCACACACUCUGUGGAAGAUCUUCUCUUUGUCAU
rnacentral:pre_miRNA from 1 species